GGAUGUGAGGGCGAUCUGGCUGCGACAUCUGUCACCCCAUUGAUCGCCAGGGUUGAUUCGGCUGAUCUGGCUGGCUAGGCGGGUGUCCCCUUCCUCCCUCACCGCUCCAUGUGCGUCCCUCCCGAAGCUGCGCGCUCGGUCGAAGAGGACGACCUUCCCCGAAUAGAGGAGGACCGGUCUUCGGUCAAGGGUAUACGAGUACCUGCGCUCCCCUGCUAGAACCUCCAAACAAGCUCUCAAGGUCCAACAUACUCAGUAUCGUGCGUGUGUGUGUGUGUGUGUGUGUGUGUGUAUGUGUGUGUAGUCCUGGCCCUCACAAUAUAACAUA
rnacentral:snRNA from 1 species